rnacentral:lncRNA from 1 species
GUCCUCCAACUCCCUGAGCCACUUGGGCAAUGUCUCUGUUAAUUUCUGAGAGAGGCCAUUGAUUCUGAGUCUGUCAGGGGCAUCCUCAUUGAGAAUGGGGAUUGUGACCCUAUGUCCAACUGCCUCACAUCAGCCGAUCGGAUUCGGUCCCUCUCCACUAUGACAUCUCCGAUCGUCGCCUUUAGACUCAUGCACUCAAUAGUGUCAUGGCAUAAUUGAUAGCAUCUACAAUACUUGGCUAGAGGCUACUCACCCGGACUGCGAUAAGAGUCUCCAGCAUGCGAUAAUUUUAUCGAUGAUAUUUUGUAAGGGUUAGUAUAAAUUGUUUAAUUUCGUUAGGGUCAAUUAGAGCCUCCACCCAUUAUUGUAAUAAAUUUAACAAUGAAGAAAAGGGUCGAAUAGUCUCCACCUGUAUUAUGAAAUUUCGUUAGGGUCUAUGUAUAAAUUGAGACAUGCAGUAUAUCAUAUUGUAACUCCAGUCAAGGUUUAUAACUGUUUCUAUCUCAAUAAAUUUUGCAUGUUCAAG